GAGGAACGUCCGGGCUCCACAGGGCAGGGUGAUGGCUAACAGCCACCCGGGGUAACCCGCGGGACAGUGCCACAGAAAACAAACCACCGGCGCGCAUGCGGCGGUAAGGGUGAAAAGGUGAGGUAAGAGCUCACCAGCGGCGCGGGUGACCGCGUCGGCUAGGUAAACCCCACCCGGAGCAAGACCGAGCAGCAGGCAGGGCGGCCCGUCCAAUGCCUGCGGGUAGGUUGCUGGAGGCCGUCGGUAACGACGGUCCUAGAUAGAUGGUCGCCACCGCACGUCCGGUAACGGCGUUCGUGACAGAACCCGGCGUA
rnacentral:RNase_P_RNA from 1 species